UACAGUAUCGACUGUAUACAAACAGGUGCACACGCACAACCUAAUAAAAAAAACAAUGUACAGAGACUUCAAAGUGGAUGCCUUUAUGUGCGGCAGUCCAUCCGGAGCAGAUGGCCUCUCCCUUCACUGAGAUGGAGUUUUACACUAUUCUCUUCUCUCUGGUAGUGUUCAGUCUCUUUACCCUGCAUGGCCUAAUACAAGAGAGAUGUGUGCACACUACAGGCAGUGAAGACAUCAAAGAAAGAUUUGAGGAGCCACUCAUCGUCUAAAUCCACCUGCAGGCCAAUCAAGACUGAUUUCAUGCAACGUGGUCAAUCCAGGAUCAAAUAUGAUGAGUGGUGCUGUACACAUAACUUGACCAGUAUGCUGCUAUCUUUAUUGCGCUUGAAACCUCAUCACCUGGACUGGAUCCGGUUGCUAACUCAGGGUGGAAGUGUGUGUGUGUUAUGGAUCUUCUAUUUUCAGGGUUUGAGUUGGUCUUCAUCGUCAUUGCUUUUACUGUCAUGUGCUUAUUUGGCCUGGCUGCAGUCUACACACAUAAUACAGACCAUCAAGAUGACUACACUCAGACAGGACAGAGGAUAACACAACAAAAGAACAACUCAAAUAAAAAAAGAGUUGUAACCAAAGCCAAUCAAGAGAUACCAUGAACACAUUUCAUAGACAUACAGAAUCUCUCUGUUGGUGCUCAUUGGAUAAAAGGCCUGGCUCACCAAAUGCAGUUAAUCGGCUGACAAACUGUGUUUGAAGAACUCUGAGACUGAAAAUAGACUUCAGUUCACCCUCAAGACACAUGCGAUUUCUCUCAGCUGUUUCUGAUUGGCUUUAAUGUAUUACCCCAGU